rnacentral:lncRNA from 1 species
GGAAAAGGCUUAAGUUGACCUACUUUGGUUGAGUUGUCCAUAGAAUACUUUAACUGGAAUGGGCACAAAGCUAUCUAAGAAAAGGCUUGUUCGGAACUUAUAUCUAUCUCCCAAUAUAUCACGGUGGAACUCUCAAAAAGCACUUUUCUAAGAGCUGAGACCUGGAGCCUUCUUUCCCAUCAUUAAAAAUACACUUUAUGUAUUGCACCAUGAGUAGUUCACUUCCUCUCUUCUAUUGGUGUAGCAUCCAAUGAAAUAUGAAUGGUAAAAGGAAGAGUCUCUCAUAUGCGUCUCAAUUUUGUUCAUCUUUCCCUCACUCACUGGUCAGAGAAAGGAGUAUGUAGUUGACCAGAGGAAUAGUCCCCUUAGAUUCAACUAGUGGGUGAGAGAAAAAAAUGGAACCUAUAAACGUAGAUGUUUGGAAGAUGAGAAUGCAGUUGCUUCUUAAAGAACAAGAUCUUUUUUUUUUUUUCAUUCUUGAGAAAAGAAAAGCCCAUGAAUCUGGUGCUAAUGGCUUAUUCAAUCAAGUUAAUGUUGUUAUAGCCAACUUUGUUUACCUCAGUCUUUUGCCUUUUUUGGUAUUGUUCCCUCCCUUUUUUUUGUUAUGGCAUUGUAGAUUAGGACAUGUUUGCAGCCCAAUAGGGGAUAUCAACGUAGAAUUGUGAUUGUUAGGGAGAAUGCUUUUAGUCAACUGAGCGAGUUGCUUACAAAGAUUAAUUGGCAAGCUCAAUCUAUAAAGAAUAAUUAGAACCUAGACUACAUGUGGUUCUAUGUUCUUGGAUUCUUGGUGGUGACCAUGGUAAGGCGGUGGUGGUGACAUGGUGAUGAAAGUGAUAAUAAUAAUAGUUAUUGCAUAAUAUGGGCGGUGUGCGGAUUCUGUUUAGGUGAGCAACAAUGAUAGGAAAGGGGAGUAAGCAAGCUUUAAGGGAUAGGGGGAUGGAAGCAAAAAUAUGCAUUGGUUGUUCCAGAAUAGGUUGAGGACAAGGUUCUUUCAUUAAAGGGAAAGAAUUUCAGGCAGUUAAAGUAACUAUCUCCAACCUUUCCUGUAUAGGUGAGAGACCAUUAUGAUAAGGUUAAUCUGCACGUUUUAAGUUCAUAUGAAACAAGUUAUUGAAAAAUUAAUAUCCAUGACCAUUAUGUUUCGCUCUAAUGCUACCAAAUUUCGGUAAGCUUUAGGUACCCCUAAAAGCCCUAUACACUUACUUUUUUUCAAAGAAACUAACUUAGACAUCGGAGAUCCAUUGGCCUAACCCCACACUCCCCACCUCGUGGGUGUGUGAGACCUUAGUCUUUGAUCAAAGGUGUUGAUUGUUUUGCAGGUGCAUUUUCGUCAAAGCAAGGGAUGACGGAAAUUUGCAUCAACAUCUUGUUUCUUUACUACUGUAAUUGUUGUCAAUAAUGGUUAUUUCUCAUGCUUUAUUUUCGUCUCUAGAAAUUCAAUUAUGAUUGAACUGAAAUGUACUAUCGUUCUGUAAAAAUAAAUAUUGACAUUUACCAACACAAUUUAUUGUCAAAUUCAAAUGUAUACCUACUAAAUUAAAAUGUACCCAUGCCUAAAUUAAAUGUACCGAUAGGUUCUAGGGUUACACAUAACUUGAUAUUAGCUUCUUACUAGUGUUCUAAAAAUCGGGCUAGGGGGCCACCUAGAUGCUACGCAAUGGUCAGUCGCUCGGAUUAAGCCAAAAGUGGGAGGCAAAUUCGGGAAGAAAUUAGGCAGGUGCCUAUGGGGUCUAGUGAAGGAUGAUUUUGUGAAAACAUGUUCAUUUGAAUAACAUCUAUAGCAUGCAUUUAACAAUUAAAAGGCGGAAUCAUGCUUGCAUGCAUUCAAAAACAAAACAUUACCCAUGAAAUUCAAAGCCUAGUAGAUUGGUGAACCAAGACUCAACUCAAAAUCAAAGUGAGUUGAAAUUUACCUUUGUAGAUUUCUCUUUGCAUAAGCAAAGGCUAAUCACCCAAAGAGAGGGCCUUCAUUCCUUGCAUCUAAAAUCUAUGGAUUUGGAUGGAUGAAAAGGUUUCUCCAAGUUCCCAAAAUUGAGAACCUCUAAGUAUCCACACCAAGGUUAGAUUGGAGAAGAAAAUGAGUGACCUUGGAGGAGUAGUAUGGCUAGAUACACCCUCCA